UACGUAGGGGGCUAGCGUUGUCCGGAAUCAUUGGGCGUAAAGCGCGUGUAGGCGGCCCGGUAAGUCCGCUGUGAAAGUCGGGGGCUCAACCCUCGGAUGCCGGUGGAUACUGUCGGGCUUGAGUACGGAAGAGGCGAGUGGGAUUCCUGGUGUAGCGGUGAAAUGCGCAGAUAUCAGGAGGAACACCAAUUGCGAAGGCAGCUCGCUGGGACGUUACUGACGCUGAGACGCGAAAGCGUGGGGAGCAAACAGG
rnacentral:rRNA from 1 species